GAUGAAGAACGUAGCGAAAUGCGAUAAGUAGUGUGAAUUGCAGAAUUCAGUGGAUCAUCGAAUCUUUGAACGCACAUUGCGCCCUUUGGUAUUCCUUAGGGCAUGCCUGUUCGAGCGUCAUUUAAACCUUCAAGCUCAGCUUGGUGUUGGGUGACUGUCCGCCGCCUCCGGGCGCGUGGACUCGCCUCAAAAUUAUUGGCGGCCGGUACAUUGGCUUCGAGCGCAGCAGAAACGCGAACUCGGGCCCGUCGUAUUGGCUCCCAGAAGCUAUCUUCACAAUUUUGACCUCGGAUCAGGUAGGGAUACCCGCUGAACUUAAGCAUAUCAAUAAGCGGAGGA
rnacentral:misc_RNA from 1 species